UGGGGAAUAUUGGGCAAUGGGCGAAAGCCUGACCCAGCAACGCCGCGUGAAGGAUGAAGUAUUUCGGUAUGUAAACUUCGAAAGAAUAGGAAGAAUAAAUGACGGUACUAUUUAUAAGGUCCGGCUAACUACGUGCCAGCAGCCGCGGUAAUACGUAGGGACCAAGCGUUGUUCGGAUUUACUGGGCGUAAAGGGCGCGUAGGCGGCAAUUCAAGUCAUCUGUGAAAUCUCCGGGCUUAACUCGGAACGGUCAGAUGAUACUGCUUUGCUAGAGUGCAGAAGGGGCAAUCGGAAUUCUUGGUGUAGCGGUGAAAUGCGUAGAUAUCAAGAGGAACACCUGAGGUGAAGACGGGUUGCUGGGCUGACACUGACGCUGAGGCGCGAAAGCCAGGGGAGCAAACGGGAUUAGAUACCCAGGUAGUCCCUGAGCGGGCUGGCAAGGCGCAU
rnacentral:rRNA from 1 species